AUUGAACGCUGGCGGAAUGCUUUACACAUGCAAGUCGAACGGCAGCACGGACUUCGGUCUGGUGGCGAGUGGCGAACGGGUGAGUAACAUAUCGGAACGUAUCCAAUAAUGGGGGAUGACUAAUCGAAAGGUUGGCUAAUACCGCAUACGCCCUACGGGGGAAAGCUAGGGACCUUCGGGCCUGGCGUUAAUGGAGCGGCCGAUAUCUGAUUAGCUAGUUGGUGGGGUAAAGGCCCACCAAGGCGACGAUCAGUAGCUGGUCUGAGAGGAUGAUCAGCCACACUGGAACUGAGACACGGUCCAGACUCCUACGGGAGGCAGCAGUGGGGAAUAUUGGACAAUGGGCGCAAGCCUGAUCCAGCCAUGCCGCGUGUGCGAAGAAGGCCUUCGGGUUGUAAAGCACUUUUGUCCGGGAAGAAAUCUUCCGACCUAAUACGUCGGGAGGAUGACGGUACCGGAAGAAUAAGCACCGGCUAACUUCGUGCCAGCAGCCGCGGUAAUACGAAGGGUGCAAGCGUUACUCGGAAUUACUGGGCGUAAAGCGUGCGUAGGUGGUUCGUUAAGUCUGCCGUGAAAGCCCCGGGCUCAACCUGGGAAUGGCGGUGGAUACUGGCGGACUAGAGUGCGGUAGAGGGUGGUGGAAUUCCCGGUGUAGCAGUGAAAUGCGUAGAGAUCGGGAGGAACAUCUGUGGCGAAGGCGGCCACCUGGACCAGCACUGACACUGAGGCACGAAAGCGUGGGGAGCAAACAGGAUUAGAGACCCUGGUAG
rnacentral:rRNA from 1 species